rnacentral:rRNA from 1 species
CACCAGGUUGAUUCUGCCUGACGUAGACGCUAUACUCUAAGAUUAACCCAUGCAUGUGUAUUGAAUAUAAAGAAAAGACGACCAGCUCAGUAACUCUUAUUUGAUUUGAUGUAUUAGGAUUCUAACUAUGUUAAAUUAUAGGUAACAAUAAUACAAUAAGAAUAAGAUCUAUCAGUUAGUUGUUAAGGUAAUGGCUUAACAAGACUAUGACGGAUAACGGUAUUACUUUGUAAUAUUCCGGAGAAGGAGCCUGAGAGAUUGCUACUAAGUCUAAGGAUUGCAGCAGGGGCGAAACUUGACCUAUGAUAUUAUAUUGAGGCAGUUAUGAGUAGUAUUUUAUAAUUAUUGUAGUAUUGUAAGUACAUAUUCCAAGAUAAAUCGGAGGGCAAAUCGAGUGCCAGCAGCCGCGGUAAUACUUGUUCCUAUAGUGUGUAUGAUGAUUGAUGCAGUUAAAAAGUCUGUAGUUUAUUUAUAAUAAGCAUUGUAAGGUAUACUGUAUGGUUAGGAGAGAGAUGAAAUGUGAUAACCCUAACUGGAUGAACAGAAGCGAAAGCUGUAUACUUAAAUGUAUUAUUAGAACAAGGACGUAAGCUAGAGGAUCGAAGAUGAUUAGAUACCAUUGUAGUUCUAGCAGUAAACUAUGUUGAAUCAUAGAUAUAUUUUGAUAUAUAUUUAUGUAGAGAAAUUAAGAUUAUAUUGACUCUGGGGAUAGUAUGAUCGCAAGAUUGAAAAUUAAAGAAAUUGACGGAAGAAUACCACAAGGAGUGGAUUGUGCGGCUUAAUUUGACUCAACGCGGGGUAAUUUACCAGGUAUAACAUGGUAUAAUAUUUUAUCAUGAUAGUGGUGCAUGGCCGUUUCCAAUGGAUGCUGUGAAGUAAUGAUUAAUUUCAACAAGAUGUGAGACCCUCAUUUAGACAGAUGUAGUGAUACAUAUGAAGGAGAGGAUUAAAACAGGUCCGUUAUGCCCUAAGAUAAUCUGGGUUGCACGCGCAAUACAAUAAUAUUUGAUAUUAUAAGGGAUAAUAUAAUGUAAGAUAUAUUUGAACAUGGAAUUGCUAGUAAAUUUUAUUUAAUAAGUAGAAUUGAAUGAGUCCCUGUUCUUUGUACACACCGCCCGUCG